GCCCUCGGGGCUGCAUGUUGGAGAGUGGCCGACAAGGGUGGAUCCCAUCACAGGGUCUGCCCCAGCUUGUGUGAGUACACAUAUGCACGUCCCCAAAGCUUUCGCGCAUUCCCGCGUGUGCUGACACUGGACAGGUUCUCGGCUCACAGCACAAGGUUCAACCUUCUUGCACUCCACCCUCAAGCAGCCUGUGUUUCAUCGGGGUAGACAGAUAAUGAACCGUAGGCAAACAGGAAGAGUCUUUGGGAGCGGCACAAGGACAACUCUUAUUUACCUGCAAUAAUGCAUGCCUGCACCAAUUCUCAGCCCCCACACUGAGCCACCAACCUGAGAGGCUUGAAGAGCCACAAAGAGGUCAUGUGAGGAUUUCUUUCUUCACUGCCUCUUCAUCUUCCAGGCUGGUGAGCACGACCUGAACCCCCUGUUCUCAUGAGUUUGUCCUUCCCCCCCCCCCCCCCCCCCCCCCGCCACUGCCCACUGCUGCCCUCCGGGUUAAGGUGUGCUGGGCACACACCCAGAGACCUUUGCACUGCAGUUGGGAAAGUUAUUUGUCGAGAAACUUUUUGCAUCUUUCUUUUCCUCUUGCUGCGGGCUUCUGCCUACAUAACUCUGCAAACUGCAAUGCUGGUUUCCUGUAAAAGCCAAGGGAUCGCCCGUAUGAGGCUGCCUGCAUUUUCUCUUCCAAGUCACCGUCCUCCAUGGUGCCUCAGGUUUUUGGUCCAGUAAAAUGGGCCUGAUCAUUCUGGCUGCUUUCCACACAUCUCUGUGGGAUGGAAUGGUGAGCACGUGACUGCCCUGACCCUGUCAUUCAUCCAAUACUUCCUUCGUCUUACACACGCUCUUAGGUGCCUCUUCCGUUCGGGGCGCUGAAGCUCCAAAGGUGAGUCGGAGGGUGUUGUGUCUUUGUGUAGUUUAAGUUGGGAGGGCCAGACACAGGGGAGCGUGGAAUUGCAGCCCUGUGCGAUAUCAUGAUGGUCCAUUAGGUAGAAGGUGGUGAGAAAACUUUCUCACUGGAGGUGAGAAAACUAGUCACUUAGAAGUCAGGCUGAACAGGGAUGGAGAAUAAGGCAUCAGAUAU
rnacentral:lncRNA from 1 species